AUGGCAGUCACCAGGAGCCACGGCAACAGGAAGCCACCUUCACAAUGCUUCUUUUCAGGUGGCAGACCUCACCAAAAUGAACCAAACCUGAAGAGGAGGAAAAUGGCUGACACCAACAGCAGCUAUGAGGAUGUAUUUGUGAGGACUUCUGAAAGAGCCGCCAGGAAAUCCCAGAAAUGCAAGGGGACCAGGAGACAGUGGCAGCAAGGAGGGAGGGAAUACAGAAGAGAGCGGCAAGGGUUAAUGUGAAGAUUAAUGAGAUCAUUGGGGAUGGACUGGAGUGCUGUUUACACAUAGGAUGUUAUAAGAAGGAAAAAGGAAAUUACAAGAAAAAAAGACGUUAACAAACAAGAGCCCAGCCCAGCGAGCCCUCCAUGGUCCAAUACCCAGAUCUUUGUGACAGAUUCGAAUUGCUGGCAGUCUCCUCAAGGAGAGAAAGAAGCCAAGCCCUAUACAGCCUUAUCAGAGCACGCAAGGGAAACCAACGGAAAGAAUGCCAAAAUCAGAGGCUGUGCCAUGCACUCGCUUAACAAAUAAAUAUUGAAUACCUACUAUGUGCCA
rnacentral:lncRNA from 1 species